GCCCGAAAGGGUGCGGUUGAAAGCCUGAAAAGAUAACCGCUUAAAGUGGCUGAUGCCUAUGUGUCGGGGCGUGGAACUCACCACGCGCUAAAAAAGAGGAA
rnacentral:ncRNA from 1 species